GACAAUGUAGCAAAGUUGGUUAAUGCGUGUGAUUAGAAAUCACAUCCUCUCUGAGGGCGUAGGUUCAAAUCCUGCCAUUGUCG